GACCGCACUGAGAUUUCAGCCUGCCGCAGCACUGCUGAUGGAAAUUAGGAUCCAGGAGCUGUUUAUGAGGAAGGGCUGGUGUAUUUGGAGAGACAUCCCUCCCCCUAGUUUUGAGAAACGGGAAGCUGCUGGCGAGGGUUUUCAGAGGAGCUUCAGGCAGAAGCCUGCUUGCACUCUGUGGAGGGGCAAAAUUCGAAUCUUUGCAAAGUCUGUGGGCUUCUUUAACUCAAGUCUCUGUGGGAACUCCACCUACUUCCCCACAAACUGCUUUUUACCUCAUGAUUAUUCCUUCAAUUAUUACGCUGUUUGCCUAGUACUGACUCUCCGCUGCUCGAGAAGAGAAGCAACACAGUGCCUUGUUUCAUCUUCUCAUCCUGGAUCUGAAAUGGACAGUUCUGAAGAAAUGAGAAUCUAAGCCCACCAGCAGCAUCCUUUGGGGGAAAAAAACCUGUAGCUUUCAGGAAAAGGAGAGAGGACUCCCAUCUGAGCCAGGCAGAAACCCUUUUCUUUGCUCGAAACCCCACCACAGAGACUGAGGCAAGAGAAGGGAAAGGCUGAAGAGUGGGCUGGUUCCAGGAGCCCCGUCCCACCUGCUGAGCCCUGCCCUCAGAGGAGAACCAGAGGCCCACCUGCACCAUGGAAAGUGAGGAAGACAACACUUUCUCCCCUUCCAAAAGCAGCCCGAAGAAUGAGAUCCACAGCCCGCUUUACAAGGAGAACCACACCUUCUCUGCCUAUUACCAGCACUCUGCCCCAGUGGCCGCCAUGUUCAUCAUCGCCUACAUCUUCAUCUUCUUCCUGUGCAUGGUGGGCAACAUGCUGGUGUGCUUCAUUGUGCUGAAGAACCGGCAGAUGCGAACCGUCACCAACGUCUUCAUCCUCAACCUGGCUAUCAGUGACAUCUUGGUGGGGAUCUUCUGCAUGCCGACCACUCUUGUGGACAACCUCAUUACAGGCUGGCCGUUCGACAUUGUCAUGUGUAAAAUGAGUGGGCUGGUCCAGGGAAUGUCAGUCUCUGCUUCGGUAUUCACGCUGGUGGCCAUUGCAGUGGAAAGGUUUCGUUGUAUUGUGUAUCCAUUCAGACAGAAACUUACUCUAAGGAAAGCCUUGGUCACCAUUGUUAUCAUUUGGGUCUUGGCCUUAAUUAUUAUGUGCCCUUCUGCAGUUACUUUGACUGUUACCAGGGAUGAAUACCACUUCAUGCUGGACGCCUACAACCAUUCCUACCCGUUCUACUCCUGCUGGGAAGCCUGGCCCGAUAAGGAGAUGCGGAAAAUCUACACAACUGUUCUUUUUUCUCACAUCUACCUUGCCCCCUUCACUUUGAUUGUGAUCAUGUACACUCGGAUUGCUUUCAAACUGUUCAAGUCAUCAGCAUCCAUAAGAGGUUCCCACUCAGAAGAGAAUGAGGGGAGAAGAGUCUCUAAAAGGAAAGUAAAAGUAAUCAAUAUGUUGAUCAUUGUGACGUUGUUCUUCACUCUCUCUUGGUUGCCUCUGUGGUGUUUAAUGUUGCUGACCGAUUAUGGGAACCUCACUGAGCAUCAACUUAACCUUGUUACUGUUUAUUUCUUCCCGUUUGCCCACUGGCUGGCUUUCUUUAAUAGUAGCAUUAACCCAAUCAUCUAUGGGUAUUUCAAUGAGAACUUUCGGAGAGGAUUCCAGGAGGCCUUCAAAGUCCAGUUUUGCUCUAGGGAAAGAGAGCACAACGACACGUAUUCCAAGAGGAAUAACAGUGGAUUCAUGUAUGGGGCUCGCAAUCGGAUUUUUGUUGAGGCUCAAGGCAGUGAUUCAGCGCAGCCAUCUGAGACUGGGCAAAGUAGUUUCCUAAGAAGUGGACUGUUUCCAGCGAGGAAUGGCCGAGUAGCUAACCACAGCUUGGUGGUGGAGGAUUUUGACAGUAAAGGUUGCUUACCCAAUAAUGCUAGCAUCCCAGCUUGGGAAAUUUAAGGGAAUUUGAGAUCCCUGGACAAGAUGAAAUGACUUUACUAGACAUGAUUACAUCAUUUUUGGAGCAUGUGGACCAAAUGCAUGUCAAGUAAGAUUCUCAAGACCAAAUCCUUUCAUCACUGUGGAUGUCUUUGUGAAGAUAUAUUGGAUCUGUGGGACUUGGUGUUCUUCAAGUCCUGGUUUUUGAUACCUAAAUGUGGAAUAGACUAGUUUUUAUAAAGUUUCAAUUUAUAAAUGAAUCAUUUUCCCUUAAACCCUCCUGUGUAUUCAAGAAGGGCCUUGACUGAAGUUACACUUAAAGAGGAACUUGACAAAAUAUUUUGAAGCAGAACGUCUAGACAGGAGUACAUAUGACAGCUAUUGGUCAGCUAUUACAUCUAUUGGACGAUACUGGCUGGGCUACCUCAAAAAAACAAACAAGUUAUGAAUGAAAUUGAAUGGGAAGAGAAACCUCAAAGAUCAGAAGUAUAAAUAGGAAGGCAAUCAAUCUAUAGUACAAUGCAUACACAUAUAUACAGAGUCAACAGCAGGUCAAGUAAUUGGUACUCUAAUGCUGGUUUAUAAUAGUUCCCUACCCCUGCACUAGGGUGAGACAAAUGAUGUCAUAGCUGUCACUUCCACAAGAUCAAAUUGCAUGCCCUGUUGUAUUUUGUAAGGGGGAGCCUGUGUCCCCCAAAGUUCCCAAGUGCCACCCAGGCCCGCUUAAAACCGGAUGUGAUUGGCAUGUUCAGGACAAACCACACUGUCAAAAUCUCAGUAUAGGAACUAACCAACAGUAUGAUUAUUUCCUACGAGCACUGCCUGGGAUUCUGUUUCAUAAAAGUUACAAAUUUACAGUAGUUUGAGGAUAUAGCAUGAUCUACAAAUCACUGAAGUUAGCCUGCUGGCACUUGUGAACAAGUUUAAUUUUACCUAUGUAAUGUGAUUAAACCAGUUUCUGGCUUUGUUUUGUUUAUGUAGGUUGCAGCCAUGGUAUCUCUUUCUUAGUCCGGUGAGACAGACCUCUCCCAAGCACCUGAAAAAGAUAUGGCCAGUGGUGGGAUUCAGCAGUUCGCACCACUUCGACAGAACCGGUUGUUAAAUUAUUUGAAUCCACCACUGGAUAUGGCCCUCAUUAAAAAGCACCAUGUAUGAUCCAUGGUUCUUUAGAAAAGACAUCUUGAUGUAGUGUUACUAAUCACUUGUGUGUGUAAAGUACAGUCACAGCUC